ACGAAUGGGAAUCAGCAAAGUGCAGGUGGAGAAGAUAGAUGUGAAAGGAAUUGGGGGAAGACUGUAUGCAAAGUCCUGGGAGUAAAAUUCUAGGUUAAUUUGCCAACCAGGUUAUUUAUUACAAGAGAUUAAAGAGAGCACUGUACCCGUCAGGUCCUGAAUUCUUGGUCUACAAGCUGGCCGACAAGCUGUGGGAGCCGGAAAGAAGUCCAGCAUUGCUGGCGAAACACUUAGUCCAGGUUUCUAGUACAGUGUCCUGAAAAGAUGCACAGAGAAGACUGAAAUGGGCAGCAGAGGAGGAGACUAAAGGAAAGACAGAGUCAAACUUUGCAUGAAAUUUCUGCUAUCAUUGAUGGAGAUGCCUUGAGAUUAUUAUUUUUGGACUACACCCAAGUUUUUACAUCGGAACAAAAUAAAGAGCCUCAAGGGUGAUUGGAAGAGCUAUUAAGUCAACCCCCAUGUAAAGGCAGCCAUCUUCUCAAUAAGGAUUUCCCAACCUUGCCCCAUUUACACUUGGAACCAGUUCCUCCAGCCCUUGCUUGUAACCCGGAUUCCACCUCUGAUAGAGAUUUGGAGGCUGCUGCUAUUGUCCAAGGCACUGGUCACAGCUUCUGUCUAUGGACAGAGCAGGCCAGAAGAGCCCCUAGGGGCAGCCCUCAGCCAGUGAUGGACGGGAAAUGAUGGAUAACUACUGCCACUUUGCUGCCCCUUGCUUGAGACGAUGGAGCAUGUUAUGUGACUGAGAAGCCCUCUCCAAGUAACUGAGGAGAUCAGGGCUCAGCCCAGACUGAGUUUCCAGCCUCGGUGUGGGAAUGAACGGGGCUCGCUCAUAGCUGAGGGAGUUCCAUAGCACACGGAACAAAGUGUUUCCUUCCUGAAUCAUUGACUCGUGGUGUCUUCGGGCUCCAACCAGAUGCAGAAGCCUGCACAGCUGCCCCACCUGCUCCCACAACUGCCUACCAGCUAAUCCCGACAAUAAUUCCCAUUCUCUGUUUCUCACAGUGGUUCUGUUGCUCUGACUGAACCCUGACAGAUACUCUGUGCUUGUGCGGUUUACAUUCUGGAUAGACAGUAAACGGCUUAACAAGUAAAUUCUAAAGUACGCUUAAGAGUGAAAGGUGCUAUGGAAAGAAAGAAAAUCAGAGAAGGGAAAGAGAGAGGGAAAGAGUCAGGGUAAUCUAGGGUGCCAUGGGGCUGGAGGUGGGGAGGCAGGUGCCCUAUUAAAUAAGGUGUCCCGAUGGGCCUAAUUGAGAAGGUAAGAUGUGAACAAAGCCUUGAACGAGGUGAGGGGUAGCCAAAGGAAAAUCUUUGAGGGCAGAAGAACAUAGAAUCCUCUCCCUAAGACAGGGGAGUGCCUAAAACAUUCCAGUGGCUUCAAGGAGCCAAUGUGACUGGAAAGGAGAGAGCCAAGAGGUGGACAGGAAGAUGUCAGGCCGAAACUGAAUCAAGGGGUGUGAUUUAUACAGCAGGGAUUGGCAAAUACCGGCCUAUGGACAAACCUAGCCCCUCUGCUUGUUUUUGUACAAGUCUUAUUGGCACACAGCCACGCUUGUUCAUUUACACAUCGUCUAUGGGUGCUUUCUGGCUAACAUGGCCAGAGUUGAGUCGUUGUGACAGAGACCAUAUGGCCUACACAGUCUGAAGUAUUUACUAAAAAAAUUUGUUGACCCCUGGUGUAGAGGCUCGGAGUGUUUUGCCUUUACUAUGAACAAAAUGCAAGCCAUCUCAGGUUUUGGGCAGAGGAGGGCCACACUCUAGUUUAUCUUAUACAUGAAUCACCCAUACUGCUGUGUUGAGAGCAGACUCUGGGGGGCAAGGGUGCCAGGUUAGAAGCAGGGAGACCCAUUAGGAAGCUAUCAUGGCAUCCAAGCCAGAGAGGAUGCUGGCUGGGGCCAGAGUGGCAGCGGGGGAUGUGGUCGGAUUCUGAUUAUCUUUUGAAGCUUGAGCCAAACUGACAGAGUGGAUCUGGGUGUGGGAAAAUAAGGGAGUCAACAGUGUACAAUUACAACCCAUCUUAAGUGCUAGUAUAAAAGGUUUCCUCAGAGGUGCCUCAGGGACCAGCAGGAGGGGAGCAUUGCCAAUCUCCCCGCCCAACUGGAGCAGGGCUGCUUUGUCUGUUUUGUGUAUUGGGCUGUCUAGUAAUACCACUGUUCUCAACCUUGGCUGCAUGUGAGUGAACUCUGGGGAGCUUUACAAGGUACCGAUGCCUGGGUCCCACCCCUAAAAUUCUUAUUUAAUUGGUUUGGGUUUCGACCCGAGCGUUAGGAUUCAUAAAAGCUCCCCAGAUGAUUCUUCCAUAAGCCAAAGUUGAGAACCACUGCUCUAAUAUUUUCUUUGAAUAAACUUCCCAUCCCUUCAGAUGAUGGAAAAGGACUGGUUUGGGAUCUAGAUGUGUGUGGUGGAACUUUGUCUUUUUAAUUUUCAUCUUCCCAGCAGUUAGUGCCUUCAUGACACCAUCUUAAACUGCUGGGAAGGAAUUUCUUCUCCCUUUGUUCAUAGCCCUGGCAGAAAUGGUGACUGUCCCCCAUCAACCCCCUACCCUCCACCAUCAAAGUGAAUUUUCUGGAUCUCUUCUCUCCCUUUCCCUGGUACAGCCACAUGGCAGCUGUCUGACUUGAGCUCAAGCAGUGGGACACACAGGUAUCAGAGAUGGUUGCAGGUGACUCAUUGCAGCAAUGGCCGAAAUGCUCUCCGGGAUUUUCUACCAUGAAAUGAUUGCUGAGUAUUGUUCCCAGCAUCUUGGCCCUCAGAGCUCCCUUGGUUCUUUCAAUCCAUUCCCAAACCUGGUGCCUUGGCCUCUGGUACCCUGUCAGUCUCCUUUCCACUACCCUAUAUCAUGUUGGUAAAUUGCCUAUUGCUUAAGUUAGUUUUUGCUUGCAUCCAAGAACCCUAUGGGCACAGAAGGCCUGGGUGGCAUUCUUUGCUCUAUUUGUAUCAUGACAUUAUUCCAGUCUAUUCAUUUGGCAACUGUACACUGUGAUUUCUUUGUUGGAAAAGAGCAAACAAGAAUAACAAUCUAUUGAACUAUGCUUACUCAAUGGGGAACAGACAAAUAUGAGUUGGUGCCAGAUCCUUUGGAGGUUAUAAUAAUCAUUUAUAAAACUAGUAUAGCUAUCAAUAAUAACAACAAUUUAUUAAUCAUCCAUGUCUUGAAAGUACAAAAAUUCGACUUAAUAUUUCUACAGAUGCCAAGUCUUGGGUUGAAGUGUAUAUAUGUAAAAUCAUCAAGAUGGUGAGCUAACACAAUCCUAAUCUUAAAAAAAUUUUUUUUUUUGAAUCGGGGCACCUGGGUGGCUCACUUGGUUGAGCAUCUGACUUUGACUCAGGUCAUGCAUGAUCACAGUUCGUGGGUUCGAGCCCCGCAU